rnacentral:rRNA from 1 species
ACGCACGCUGGCGGCGUGCUUAACACAUGCCAGUCGAACGGUGAAGCGCUUUCCUUUUUGGUUGGUGUGGAUGAGUGGCGAACGGGUGAGUAACACGUGAGUAACCUGCCCCCUUCUUCUGGAUAACCGCAUGAAAGUGUGGCUAAUACGGGAUAUUCUGCGCCUGCUGCAUGGUGGGUGUGGGAAAGAUUGUGCCUUUAGGUGUUUUCGGUGGGGGAUGGGCUCGCGGCCUAUCAGCUUGUUGGUGGGGUGAUGGCCUACCAAGGCGGUGACGGGUAGCCGGCCGGAGAGGGUGGACGGUCACACUGGGACUGAGACACGGCCCAGACUCCUACGGGAGGCAGCAGUGGGGAAGAUUGCACAAUGGGCGCAAGCCUGAUGCAGCGACGCCGCGUGAGGGAUGGAGGCCUUCGGGGUGUGAACCUCUUUCGCCAGUGAAGCAGGCCUGCUCCUUGUGGGUGGGUUGACGGUAGCUGGAGAAGAAGCGCCGGCUAACUACGUG